GAAAGUUCACCACAUUCAAAAGGGACUAUUUCAAGUUUCAGAAUCCUAAGAGCUUUGAUAAUGAAUUAACAAAAUAAAUAGGUCCAUGAUAAUUACUGAGAGGCAAUUCAUUCACCAGUGUUUUCUGAGAUUAUGUGCUAAACAAUGUAUCACAUGAGGCUAUACGCAUAAUGCACACACACACACACAAGUACAGGGCACAGUUCUGACACUGGUGGAGUUUAUAAUUCUUUGCAUAUAUGAAAAGUAAAGAACUCACUUUUUCACUGUAGCCAACUACCAAACCAUGUACCUAUUACUCUCUGAAAUGAAAGGGCUAGACCCAAGUUGAGCUCUACAGAAUGGUGACAAUUUAAUGAGACAGAGAGGUCCUUUUGGUUGUUGGGAAUUAACUGUAGCCCAGGUAGGGUUAAGUUUGGCCUUGUAUAAGAGACGAUGAAGAAAAUGGCCUUAUCAAAGCUAGAGGUUGGUUUUGGAGCAAUUGGGAAGAGGUGAACAAAGAGGAAGGUAUGGUUGGAGAAGAUAGUCCAGUCAACAGUGUGGAGCUUGGCUCUGUCUCCCUCUGCAUGGAUUAUGAGGUCACUGCAGUAUUCCAAGAGGAGCUGGCAAGAGCCAGGCCUACUGUGGAGAAAUGAAAAUUAAGAGGGUCUCCGAGAAACAAAAGGCAAUUUCCACAGAAAUACGGAUACAGUGUGGUUCUCCUGACAUAAGAAGGAGACACUUCCCUUUUAAAGGCUUGGCCAUAGCCAGGACCGCCGGUUUAGACUGCCUUGUUUCUGUGUGUGGUCCACUGUUACUCUCACCUCCGGCACACCCAUUCUGCACAACAUCACAAAUCUGGCAUUCCCCAAGCCCACACCAUCUGUGUAGUGACGUCACUCCCUCUCCCAAGCCCCGCGUGGCCUCUCUGCCCUGCCCAUUUGCCACAGAGGAAAUGACCACCCCUCUACUGGAUCACAAUGAGCUGUUGUUUCACGCGGCCCUCGCAGCUCUGCCUGGCAGACACCAUCUGCGCUGUAUAGAAAGGAAACUGAGGUACAAAACUGUCAAAUCGCUAAGUAACAUGUCGUUCGCAUGUAGCAGAGAUCCGGGACUUGAACUUCAUUGCCUCUGAAUCCUUACACAAGAAUCCUCAGAGCAGACUCCUCCCAUCACCAGACAGCAAUCCCUCACUUCAGUCAAACUCACCUCCCAA